rnacentral:rRNA from 1 species
UACGUAGGCAGCGAGCGUUGUUCGGAAUUACUGGGCGUAAAGAGUGUGUAGGCGGUGUUCCCAGUCUGUUGUGAAAUCCCCGGGCUCAACCUGGGAAUGGCGAUGAAGACUGCAAGGCUAGAGUUUGGCAGAGGGGGGUAGAAUUCCACGUGUAGCAGUGAAAUGCGUAGAUAUGUGGAGGAACACCGAUGGCGAAGGCAGCCCCCUGGGUCAAAACUGACGCUCAUGCACGAAAGCGUGGGGAGCAAACAGG